rnacentral:lncRNA from 1 species
AACAACCUUUGCUCGAAGAUACAACACUUCAAGACUUCAACCAAAGGAAUCACAACGUUCCUUCUUACAAUACAAGGGAUUAACACUUCCCUUCAAGUCUAUAAAAACACUUUGCACUCCAAACAAGACUCUCCUUAAGAGUAGAUAUGAGUAAAAUAAAUACGCUCAAGAACGCAACGACUUUCGUCAAGAAUUUGGCUCUCAAAAACUUAUGUAAUGAAUAGAAAAUGAUGAAUAAGAGAGUAUGCAAGCUUUAGCAA